ACUUAAAUUGAAGAGUUUGAUCAUGGCUCAGAUUGAACGCUGGCGGCAGGCCUAACACAUGCAAGUCGAGCGGUAGCACAGAGAGCUUGCUCUCGGGUGACGAGCGGCGGACGGGUGAGUAAUGUCUGGGAAACUGCCUGAUGGAGGGGGAUAACUACUGGAAACGGUAGCUAAUACCGCAUAACGUCGCAAGACCAAAGUGGGGGACCUUCGGGCCUCAUGCCAUCAGAUGUGCCCAGAUGGGAUUAGCUAGUAGGUGGGGUAACGGCUCACCUAGGCGACGAUCCCUAGCUGGUCUGAGAGGAUGACCAGCCACACUGGAACUGAGACACGGUCCAGACUCCUACGGGAGGCAGCAGUGGGGAAUAUUGCACAAUGGGCGCAAGCCUGAUGCAGCCAUGCCGCGUGUGUGAAGAAGGCCUUCGGGUUGUAAAGCACUUUCAGCGGGGAGGAAGGCGGUAAGGUUAAUAACCUUGGCGAUUGACGUUACCCGCAGAAGAAGCACCGGCUAACUCCGUGCCAGCAGCCGCGGUAAUACGGAGGGUGCAAGCGUUAAUCGGAAUUACUGGGCGUAAAGCGCACGCAGGCGGUCUGUCAAGUCGGAUGUGAAAUCCCCGGGCUCAACCUGGGAACUGCAUUCGAAACUGGCAGGCUAGAGUCUUGUAGAGGGGGGUAGAAUUCCAGGUGUAGCGGUGAAAUGCGUAGAGAUCUGGAGGAAUACCGGUGGCGAAGGCGGCCCCCUGGACAAAGACUGACGCUCAGGUGCGAAAGCGUGGGGAGCAAACAGGAUUAGAUACCCUGGUAGUCCACGCCGUAAACGAUGUCGAUUUGGAGGUUGUGCCCUUGAGGCGUGGCUUCCGGAGCUAACGCGUUAAAUCGACCGCCUGGGGAGUACGGCCGCAAGGUUAAAACUCAAAUGAAUUGACGGGGGCCCGCACAAGCGGUGGAGCAUGUGGUUUAAUUCGAUGCAACGCGAAGAACCUUACCUGGUCUUGACAUCCACAGAACUUUCCAGAGAUGGAUUGGUGCCUUCGGGAACUGUGAGACAGGUGCUGCAUGGCUGUCGUCAGCUCGUGUUGUGAAAUGUUGGGUUAAGUCCCGCAACGAGCGCAACCCUUAUCCUUUGUUGCCAGCGGUCCGGCCGGGAACUCAAAGGAGACUGCCAGUGAUAAACUGGAGGAAGGUGGGGAUGACGUCAAGUCAUCAUGGCCCUUACGACCAGGGCUACACACGUGCUACAAUGGCAUAUACAAAGAGAAGCGACCUCGCGAGAGCAAGCGGACCUCAUAAAGUAUGUCGUAGUCCGGAUUGGAGUCUGCAACUCGACUCCAUGAAGUCGGAAUCGCUAGUAAUCGUAGAUCAGAAUGCUACGGUGAAUACGUUCCCGGGCCUUGUACACACCGCCCGUCACACCAUGGGAGUGGGUUGCAAAAGAAGUAGGUAGCUUAACCUUCGGGAGGGCGCUUACCACUUUGUGAUUCAUGACUGGGGUGAAGUCGUAACAAGGUAACCGUAGGGGAACCUGCGGUUGGAUCACCUCCUUACCUUAAAGAA
rnacentral:rRNA from 1 species